GAUGAACGCUAGCGGCAGGCUUAACACAUGCAAGUCGAGGGGUAUAGUUCUUCGGAGCUAGAGACCGGCGCGCGGGUGCGUAACGCGUAUGCAAUCUACCUUUUGCAGAGGGAUAGCCCAGAGAAAUUUGGAUUAAUACCUUAUGGUAUGUGAGAAUGGCAUCAUUUUCACAUUAAAGUCACAACGGCAAAAGAUGAGCAUGCGUCCCAUUAGCUAGUUGGUAAGGUAACGGCUUACCAAGGCAACGAUGGGUAGGGGUCCUGAGAGGGAGAGCCCCCACGCUGGUACUGAGACACGGACCAGAAUCCUGCGGGAGGCAGCAGUGAGGAAUAUUGGACAAUGGGCGCAAGCCUGAUCCAGCCAUGCCGCGUGCAGGAGGACGGUCCUAUGGAUUGUAAACUGCUUUUGUACAGGAAGAAACACUGGUUCGUGAACCAGCUUGACGGUACUGUAAGAAUAAGGAUCGGCUAACUCCGUGCCAGCCGCCGCAGUAAUAC
rnacentral:rRNA from 1 species